UACAGAGACUGCAAGCGUUAUUCGGAUCCACUGGGCGUAAAGCGCACGUAGGCGGUGUUCCAUGUCAGAGGUGAAAGCCUGGGGCUCAACUCCAGAAUUGCCUUUGAAACGGGAACGCUUGAGUCCGAGAGAGGGUGGCGGAAUUCCUAGUGUAGAGGUGAAAUUCGUAGAUAUUAGGAAGAACACCAGUGGCGAAGGCGGCCACCUGGCUCGGUACUGACGCUCAGGUUCGAAAGCGUGGGGAGCAAACAGG
rnacentral:rRNA from 1 species